GAUGAAGAACGUAGCGAAAUGCGAUAAGUAAUGUGAAUUGCAGAAUUCAGUGAAUCAUCGAAUCUUUGAACGCACAUUGCGCCCGCCAGUAUUCUGGCGGGCAUGCCUGUUCGAGCGUCAUUUCAACCCUCAAGACCCCUUCGGGGGACUUGGUGUUGGGGACCGGCACAGGGGCCUGCCUGCUUGUCUUGCAGCGCCCUCGCCGCCCCCGAAAUGAAUUGGCGGCCUCGUCGCGGCCUCCCCUGCGUAGUAGCACAACCUCGCAACGGGAACGUGACGGCGGCCACUGCCGUAAAACAACCCAAUUUUAUUAGAGUUGACCUCGAAUCAGGUAGGAAUACCCGCUGAACUUAAGCAUAUCAAUAAGCAGAGGA
rnacentral:misc_RNA from 1 species